rnacentral:lncRNA from 1 species
UUGUAAUCUGUGCUACUAUUUCUUCAUCUGAAAGGACAAUAUAUGAGGUGGUGUGAAAGCCUAAAAGGCAAACUCUUCCUUGGAAUCACAGGCUUGUGAAGAAAAUCCAGAUUUUUCAGUACAGAUCUGAAAUUUGAGUUGGAAAACCAUGCCUCGGAGAGUAAAAAAUUCAGUGGGUACUAUGCCAUGAGUCAAUAUGCUGUGGACACUGGACAGUAUAGAUGAUAUCUUAUCGGCAGCCGUUUUCUCCGGCCAGAAGCUUCUGUAAGGCAAUAAAAUGCAAGCAGCUAUGGUUUAUUUAGUUAUAAACUUCCAUAUUGCAUGCAAUGGAAUACUAUUUUACUUUCCAUUCAAUAUAAUUUUGUUAAUAAUUGGUACUCUUUGCUUCUUUUGAUUUUCUCCACUUCUUCCUG